AUACGUAGGAGGCGAGCGUUAUCCGGAAUCACUGGGCGUAAAGCGUUCGUAGGCGGGUGCGUGUGUCGAGGGUGAAAGCCCUGGGCUCAACUCAGGAAUUGCCCUCGAAACUGCGCACCUUGAGGGCGUCAGAGGGUGGCGGAAUUCCCGGUGUAGCGGUGAAAUGCGUAGAUAUCGGGAGGAACGCCAGUGGCGAAGGCGGCCACCUGGGGCGUCCCUGACGCUGAGGAACGAAAGCCAGGGGAGCGAACGGAAUUAGAAACCCUAGUAGUCC
rnacentral:rRNA from 1 species